rnacentral:tRNA from 1 species
UCCCAGGUGGCUCAGUGGUAAAGAAUCUGCCUGCCAAGCAGGAGAUGCAGGUUUGAUCCCUGGGUUGGGAA